rnacentral:lncRNA from 1 species
UCCCCCAUAAAUAGAAUAACUCUGGUUAAUUUGGUCAGCCCAAAUACAGUUUAACAAGUUUUGAGGGGAAAUGUUUGUCAUCUGUGUAAGCUACCUGUAAGAAGAAUCAAGAUAAAGAAUUCAUGAAUGAUAAAAACACUUUGAAAAGACUGGUGGUUCCAUAAAAGCUGACUUUGUGCCUGGAACAUUGGAAGUGACCCGUCAGUGCUUACUGAAUGAAUAGGCAAAUGAACAAAACCUCCUGCAAUACAGCUUUCUUACCAUGCCUCAAGAGACUCUUCAGUCCAUCCUACUGUAGUUGCUUUUGAUUGGGUUCUCCCUGAGUACUGACCCUAGGCCCAGAUUCAGAGAUUUCUCCAAAAAAAGAGCUUCUUUCAAAGACAUCAUUCCUAUUGUCAACCCUGUUGGCAUAGACACAAAAUGUAAACGUUGGACAAAGGCAAUACUUGCUGUGACAAAGGCGAUAUUUGUUGUAACAAAACACAAAUGUCUGUCCAUCAGUGGGGAACGAGAAUGCUGGGAUUUGAAGAGGCCAAAAAAAUAAUACUGCUCUCUCUUUUGAGAAAGAGAGGGGAUUUUUUUUUUUUUUUUGAAAAGCCAUAAGCUUAGGACAGAUGAAAUUCAAAAUCCACACUAAACUUCACUGGAGAAUGUAAGCAAAAUAUGAGGCCACAGGUGAGCUUUCUAUUUCCUUCCUCCACUCUCCAAGAUGGCCCAUUGAUAUUUGGCUGUGUCCCCAAAUCUCAUCUUGAAUUGUAGUUCCUGUAAUCCCCAUGUGUCAUGGGAGGGAUCCAGUGGGAGGUAAUUGAAUCAUGGGAGCAGUUACUCCCUUGCUGUU